rnacentral:rRNA from 1 species
AUUGAACGCUGGCGGCAGGCUUAACACAUGCAAGUCGAACGAGUGGCGGACGGGUGAGUAAUGUAUGGGAAUCUGCCCUAUGGAGGGGGAUAACUACUGGAAACAGUGGCUAAUACCGCAUACUAUAGGAUGAGCCCAUAUGGGAUUAGCUAGUAGGUGGGGUAAAGGCUCACCAAGGCGACGAUCGCUAGCUGGUCUGAGAGGAUGACCAGCCACACUGGGACUGAGACACGGCCCAGACUCCUACGGGAGGCAGCAGUGGGGAAUAUUGCACAAUGGGGGAAAGCCUGAUGCAGCCAUGCCGCGUGUAUGAAGAAGGCCUUAGGGUUGUAAAGUACUUUCAGCGGGGAGGCGGUACCCGCAGAAGAAGCACCGGCUAACUCCGUGCCAGCAGCCGCGGUAAUAC